AUAUCACGUGGAAACACCGGUUCUUGUACGAUCACCGAAGUUAAGCAACGUCGAGCUUAGUCAGUACUUAGAUGAGUGACCGCUUAAAAAUAUCAGGUGCAGCAA